rnacentral:rRNA from 1 species
UACGAAGGGGGCUAGCGUUGCUCGGAAUCACUGGGCGUAAAGGGUGUGUAGGUGGCGCCGUAAGUCGGGUGUGAAAUUUCGGAGCUUAACUCCGAAACUGCAUUCGAUACUGCGGUGCUUGAGGACUGGAGAGGAGACUGGAAUUCAUGGUGUAGCAGUGAAAUGCGUAGAGAUCAUGAGGAAGACCAGUGGCGAAGGCGGGUCUCUGGACAGUUCCUGACACUGAGACACGAAGGCCAGGGGAGCAAACGGG